CAGGGGAGACCAACCCUAUGGUAAACCCCUGGGGGCCGAAGGGUCGACUUCUUCAGUGGCGGCCUCAAAUCCGGCACCUGAAGAUCGGCGAGUUCUCUAUAGAACGGCGCUGUCUAGCGCCCCUAGGAGGCCGGCAACAGCUAUCCGCCCUGCCUCAGGACCUUCAGGGCUCGCCCCUAGGAAGGCCUAGGGACGAGAGGAAACCGAGAGGUGAAGUUUCUUUUGUUUUUGUUCUCCGCAGAGUGGAGUAAAAAUUCAUUUAUCCAGCCGCGAAAAAGAGAUAUGACGCGCCGGAAGAAGAAAAACCCGCGAUCCCCGGCCGAGCUCCUAGCUGCCAGGGGAGAAAUUGGUCCGGGUGGUGAAAAAUAGUAACCACCCACGGCCAUAAAUCAAACCAAAAAUGGCAGCUUAGGAGCUAGUCGGGGUUGAGCGAGGUCAGUUAAAAGACAAGACGCCGCUUAUUAAGUUGUUAUAAAUUGCAGAAAAACGAGAUACACACAAUUAAAAAUUAUAAUAAUAAACGAAUUGGCAUAAGGAGCAUUUAUUUUCGGUAAAGAAGGUUCGAGAAACAUAAAUCCGAAUAUUUAAGUAGAAAGGCACGCGAUUGGUAUGCAGAAUUGUAGAGAAACGCGACAAAUCCUGCACGCGCCCGCAGCCCUUGGUUCUUCUCUCUCUCUCUGCGCCCGAAGAAGGAGGAGCCAAGGGAGCUGAUCGGGCUAUAAAAAGGCGCCGGGCCAGAGCAGAGAGAAGCAGUCAGGUACCUUACUCCAAAAGGGAAGAAGGAGACCUCACCUGAGCCAAGCUGAGCCGGCGCCCGAGCUAGCGGAAAGCACGGCUGAGUGUUCGGUCGCUUGGCGGACGCGCAUGCACGCUGACGAGUACGUCCGAGCUGCACGCCGCUAUUGCCACCGACACACGCUUCGAGCAGCGUACCGCCGCCAACUAGCGGCUCUCUGCCGCUUGCGCGCCGACGUGGAGAUAGGUUGCCGAAACGCCGCCGACAGGUGACGAAUCGGCCGCCGAUAGGGCUGCCGAUAACCGAUCGUUUGCCGACGGCGCCGACUCAGCGUUGCCGGCGGAGCCGACUGGCCGCCGAAACGCCGACCAGGGACGACUCGGCCGCCGACAAGAUCCGAAACUGAUCGGCCGCCGACUCAGCGCCGACGACUAGAGUCGGGUCAGCUACCGUAGGCGCCAGGCCCCGACCGUGAGAUACUCACGCCGGGACACGAUCAACACGCCGUCCAGCGCCGAAGAGCGUCGCUUCCCAGCCUCACCUGCCACGGGAGUUGCCAGGCCGGCCCUAGCUUAGUUCAGGCCGCGGAUGCAGACGGAGCUCCCCUACGAACGACUCGACUCGCCCGGUCUUCAAGUAGGUCUUCACCGGAACGUCGAGCCGAGGCUAGCACCAUCUGCCCGCUUGGGAAUUGACCUCUACUGACCAAAGGGGAAGCAGACGGUCACCGGACGGAGGUAGCGGCGCCCGCCUGGCAUCGGACGGACGCGCCUACUGCCGGAGAACGAGGCUGCUGAGCGCUCCUGCCUGGACCCAGACGCCCGCUUAUCAGCGUACCAGUUACUCGUCACCGACCGACCAACGGCUCCGAAUCGGCGAGAUAUCCACGGAAAUUCACGAAUCGUUCUGUGAACUUGAGGAUAGAAAUAAAUGUUCCUGAUAGUGCCAAUGAAAAA